UCUCAUUCACUAUUUAAAUAAUUAAAUUUCAGUAUAAUAUAUAUGAAAUUUCUAUAUUAAAAAAAUGCACGGGUUCAACUUAAUCCAAUCAAUUUGGAGUAACACAACCUGAUCAAGUCCAACCCAACUAAUGGAAUCUAACCCAAGCUCCAAAAACUGAAGUCCAACUAAUCCGAGUCCAACUCAAGCUGGAAAAAGAAAUGAGGUUACUUUGGUUUGAGUAACUCGGAUUUGAGGUUUGGAUGUUUUUUUAAGGCCAGCCCAACC
rnacentral:lncRNA from 1 species